CCGUUAACCGGGACCGAACAGACAAUAUGAGGCCAGGCUGAAGACUUUGCCGGAUUAGCUGAGAGGUGGUGCAUGGCCGUCGUCAGUUCGUACUGUGAAGCAUCCUGUUAAGUCAGGCAACGAGCGAGACCCACGCCCACAGUUGCCAGCGUACUCUCUGGAGUGACGGGUACACUGUGGGACCGCCGCUGCUAAAGCGGAGGAAGGAAUGGGCAACGGUAGGUCAGUAUGCCCCGAAUAUCCCGGGCUACACGCGAGCUACAAUGGUUGGUACAAUGGGUAUCUACCCCGAAAGGGGACGGGAAUCUCCUAAAACCAAUCUUAGUUCGGAUUGAGGGCUGCAACUCGCCCUCAUGAAGCUGGAAUCCGUAGUAAUCGCGUUUCAACAGAACGCGGUGAAUACGUCCCUGCUCCUU
rnacentral:rRNA from 1 species